GGUCGGAUGGUGUAGUAGGUUAUCACGUCAGUCUAACACACUGAAGGUCCCCAGUUCGAGCCUGGGUUCGAUCA